UGAGUGAAAGGACAAUUCUCAAACAGCUUACACAGCUCAAUUCAAACAGCUUGCAAGCUAAUAUCAGCUAGUUCAAGGGAACAGCUUGGCCCAGAGAAGUCAGAACAAAAGCUUUUUUAUCCAGUUUCCAGAAAACAGCUUCGUCUAAAGGAAUAGGUUCAAGGCUGAAAAACCAGCACAAUUUCAGUGAAGCAGCCCAUAUUUCCAGAGGAAUGAACUGAAGGCAUUUUCAGCCAGCUUGUGUUAAGAUAGUCUGAUCUCCAAAUCAGACCGAAGUACCAAAAGAGUACUUGCACACAGAACAAAAUAUUAACCAGAAAGACAAAACCCUAAAAUAGAUGCUGAAUAAGACCUGGAGAGCUUUAAAUGCAGAGAAGACGUGAGAUUGAAUCCAGGAGAAAGAACUUCAAACUUCAAUUUCCAUGAGAAAAGCAGUGACAAUAAUGGGCUGCAAUGUGGUUUCUGUCACCUGUUUGCUCACAAGUCUGGACCGAUUUCUUCAGCAGAGAUAGGUUUACUUGGGAUCAGCAGAGGAUUGCAAUUCUGGAGACUGCAACUGUGGCCAGCCAUGGGCAAGUUCCCCACAUGGCAAGGAUCCUAAUUGUUCAUCAUGAGGAGAACAUGGUGCCAAAAUGACAGAAUGAGGCAGAUGAAGCCAAAAGUAUCAUAAUGGCUAUAGCAGGUGAAGGGCAGCAGAGACAACCCCAGGGGAAUGAAGGAAUAUCCUGGCAAGAACAAAGCCAUCUAUAAAGUCAAAACAGAAGAAGCUGGGAUUGAAGGUAAAUUAAUAUAAAAAUGAAUCCUGCAAAAAAUUAAAGGUCAGAGCCAACAAUGGUUUGGCUAAGCAAAUCAAGGGAACUAUGGAAAUCUUUGCAUUCAAAUUUCUGUGGUCAACAUUAUGCUGGGUGGUGUCAGUGGUUCUUGAAGGCCCAGUUGAGUAUCUAAUCAUUUCAAAGCCAUGAUGUUUAAAUCUAGCAUAUAACCUUCUGAUGGACUCCUAUAUCUGUUUAGGUCAACAAAUAAUUAGAAUCCUUUAAUGGUAUAGUCUGAGAUAUUAGACAAAUCAGCACCCAUUUGAAUAAUUCCUGGGUCUAUAACUCAGAAUGUUAAUGUUGAAUGCUCUAUGAAACAAUUUUUCAUGUCAUACAUUAUAGAUAUUUAGAACUAUGAGUGUCCUUAUAGAUUACUUAACUCAACUGUGAAAGCACAAAAAACACUAGUUCUGGAGAUAACAGGAAGAGAGUUCAAGCUUUUUUGUUUGGAGCAAAGAUCCUGGAAGUAGUGGAAAACAGGACCAAAGUUUUAACAAAGCUGGAAUGAAGGAAAACCUGGAUAGGAGGAAGUGAUUUCAAUAUCUGCCAGUGUUUUUCUGGGCUGCAAGGGGCGCUGGGAGGCUGACUCUCUCUUUCUCUCGCUCUCUCUCUUUUUUUUUUUUGGUCUUUUACGGCUGCACCUGCGGCCAGCUUAUGGAGGUUCCCAGGCGAGG